CCUACGGGUGGCAGCAGUGGGGAAUAUUGGGCAAUGGGCGCAAGCCUGACCCAGCAACGCCGCGUGAAGGAAGAAGGCUUUCGGGUUGUAAACUUCUUUUCUCAGGGACGAAGCAAGUGACGGUACCUGAGGAAUAAGCCACGGCUAACUACGUGCCAGCAGCCGCGGUAAUACGUAGGUGGCAAGCGUUAUCCGGAUUUAUUGGGUUAAAAGGGUGCGUAGGCGGUCCGUUAAGUCAGCGGGAAAGUUGCGGGGCUCAACGCCGUCGAGCCGUGGAAACUGGCAGACUUGAGUGGGCGAGAGGUACGCGGAAUGCGCGGUGUAGCGGUGAAAUGCAUAGAUAUCGCGCAGAACUCCGGUGGCGAAGGCAGCGUACUGGCGCCAGACUGACGCUGAGGCACGAAAGCGUGGGGAUCGAACAGGAUUAGAUACCCUAGUAGUC
rnacentral:rRNA from 1 species